AUUGAACGCUGGCGGCAGGCCUAACACAUGCAAGUCGAACGAGUGGAGGACGGGUGAGCAAUGUAGGGACACGUGCGUGAUGGAGGGGGAUAACGACUGGAACCGGUAGAUACUACCGCAUACGAUCCGAUCGGCCCAGAUGGGAUUAGCUAGUCGGUGGGGUAUAGGCACACCAAGGCGACGCUGCCUAGCUGGUCUGAGAGGAUGACCUGCCACACGGGAACUGAGACACGGCCCAGACUCCUACGGGAGGCAGCAGUGGGGAAUAUUGCACAAUGGGCGCAAGCCUGAUGCAGCCAUGCCGCGUGUAUGAAGAAGGCUUUCGGGUUGUAAAGUACUGUCAGCGGGGAGGCGGUACCCGAAGAGGAAGCAACGGCUAACUCCGUGCCAGCAGCCGCGGUAAUAC
rnacentral:rRNA from 1 species